CUUUUACUUUAGUCAUUUUACAGUAAAAAGACAAAACUAUUAAGAAACAAAUGACUUGAGGGGCUGACCAUUUAACUUUUGAGGGGGGGGAGGGGGUGAUUUACUGCUGGCAGGGAGUUUUUUUCUGGGAUCAUUAUGUGCAAGUUUUUUUCUAUCCCAUCACCAUGUAUGAUUUUUUUUUCCACUCUUUUGCAGCAUUUUUUUUUCAAUAGCUUAUACUAAUUUGGGUCAUUCCAGAAAACAUCCAUACCACCCCCACAGAGGAAAUAGGAAGUUAACCCCCCUACCCCCUUCGGAUGUCCUAAUACAUUUACUGUUAUCAGAAACAAUUUUUUCUCCCCUCCGGACGGCAGAAAUUUCCUCUGUGAGGGGAGUAUGGAUCUUUUUUGUUGAGUUUUCUAGCUUCAUGCAUUGCUUUUAAUAAUACAUAUUGCUAUGAGAUAUAUAACAUUUGGUUCAGGGCCUCUUUUAAGGCAGGGCCAUAGGAAGCUCUUUUCGAUUGGGGGGGGGGGGCUGAAAGCGAGGGCCGAAGGCCCGAGGAAAUUUUUAAAUGUAAAGUCUCUGAAGUGCCAUUUCCUGGACUUUGGGGAAGAUUUGACAGAAUUCUGAUGGUCAGAAACCAGCGUUUUAGUAUGUUGAAAUUUACAAUUUAGUAGUACUAAAUGGACGAAGGCAUAUUUAAUGAACUAUAUAUUGGAUAAGUUGCAGGAAAAUAUGGGUAAUAUCUUCAUCCUUUGCAGUUUGUCAUAGAUUAAAUGAUAAAGGUCUGCAUGAUUUUCAAAGUGAUUAUUAGCAAAGGCCCUGUAAGGAUGUGUAACUGGAAGGGACAUAUUUAGCGGGAGAAGUUCCAGUCG